rnacentral:rRNA from 1 species
UACGGGGGGGGCAAGCGUUGUUCGGAAUUACUGGGCGUAAAGGGCGUGUAGGCGGCCAACUAAGUCCGACGUGAAAUCCCCAGGCUUAACCUGGGAACUGCGUCGGAUACUGGAUGGCUUGAAUCCGGGAGAGGGAUGCAGAAUUCCAGGUGUAGCGGUGAAAUGCGUAGAUAUCUGGAGGAAUACUGGUGGCGAAGGCGGCAUCCUGGACCGGCAUUGACGCUGAAGCGCGAAAGCUAGGGGAGCAAACGGG